CGCACCUUGCGCUCCUUGGUAUUCCGAGGAGCAUGCCUGUUUGAGUGUCAUUAAAUUCUCAAUCUCUACAACCUUGUGUUGUUAGUUGAUUGGACGUGGGGGUCUUUGUGGGUCCACUGAUGUGGAUCUACUCCCCUGAAAUGUAUUAGCUGGAAUGCCUUUGCAAGUUCCAACUAUCAGUAUGAUAAUUAUCUAUGCUGGUGUUGUUGUGAAGGGGAUCUGCUUUCAAACUGUCCAUUGUGACGAUGUGAACCAAUUUGACCUCAAAUCAGGUAGGACUACCCGCUGAACUUAA
rnacentral:misc_RNA from 1 species